rnacentral:rRNA from 1 species
AUACGUAGGUGGCAAGCGUUAUCCGGAAUUAUUGGGCGUAAAGAGUGAGCAGGCGGUUAAUUAAGUCUGAGGUUAAAGCGUGGGGCUCAACCCCAUAAAGCCUUGGAAACUGAUUGACUAGAGUACGGGAGAAGUGAAGGGAACUCCAUGUGUAGCGGUGAAAUGCGUAGAUAUAUGGAAGAACACCAGUGGCGAAGGCGCUUCACUAGCCCGAAACUGACGCUCAGUCACGAAAGCAUGGGUAGCAAAUAGGAUUAGAUUCCCUAGUAGUCGACGCUGUAAACGAUGACAACUAAAUAUUGCCGCGAGGCAGUGUUGAAGCUAACGCAUUAAGUUGUCCGCCUGGGGAGUACGGUCGCAAGACUGAAACUUACAUGAAUUUGCGGGG